rnacentral:misc_RNA from 1 species
GAUGAAGAACGCAGCGAAAUGCGAUAAGUAAUGUGAAUUGCAGAAUUCAGUGAAUCAUCGAAUCUUUGAACGCACAUUGCGCCCGCCAGUAUUCUGGCGGGCAUGCUUGUUCGAGCGUCAUUACAACCCUCAGGCCCCCGGGCCUGGCGUUGGGGAUCGGCGGAAGCCCCCUGCGGGCACAACGCCGUCCCCCAAAUACAGUGGCGGUCCCGCCGCAGCUUCCAUUGCGUAGUAGCUAACACCUCGCAACUGGAGAGCGGCGCGGCCACGCCGUAAAACACCCAACUUCUGAAUGUUGACCUCGAAUCAGGUAGGAAUACCCGCUGAACUUAAGCAUAUCAAUAAGCGGAGGA